UACGUAGGUGGCAAGCGUUGUCCGGAUUUACUGGGCGUAAAGAGCGCGCAGGCGGUUGGAUAAGUCGAAUGUGAAAGCCCCCGGCUUAACUGGGGAGGGUCAUUCGAUACUGUUUGACUUGAAGGCAGGAGAGGGCAGCAGAAUUCCCGGUGUAGUGGUGAAAUGCGUAGAUAUCGGGAGGAAUACCAGUGGCGAAGGCGGCUGCCUGGCCUGUUCUUGACGCUGAGGCGCGAAAGCUGAGGGAGCAAACGGG
rnacentral:rRNA from 1 species